GACGAACGCUGGCGGCGUGCUUAAUACAUGCAAGUCGAACGGAAAGGCCCUGCUUUUGUGGGGUGCUCGAGUGGCGAACGGGUGAGUAACACGUGAGUAACCUGCCCUUGACUUUGGGAUAACUUCAGGAAACUGGGGCUAAUACCGGAUAGGAGCUCCUGCUGCAUGGUGGGGGUUGGAAAGUUUCGGCGGUUGGGGAUGGACUCGCGGCUUAUCAGCUUGUUGGUGGGGUAGUGGCUUACCAAGGCUUUGACGGGUAGCCGGCCUGAGAGGGUGACCGGCCACAUUGGGACUGAGAUACGGCCCAGACUCCUACGGGAGGCAGCAGUGGGGAAUAUUGCACAAUGGGCGGAAGCCUGAUGCAGCAACGCCGCGUGCGGGAUGACGGCCUUCGGGUUGAAAACCGCUUUCGCCUGUGACGAAGCGUGAGUGACGGUAAUGGGUAAAGAAGCACCGGCUAACUACGUG
rnacentral:rRNA from 1 species